UGGGGAAUUUUGGACAAUGGGCGAAAGCCUGAUCCAGCAAUGCCGCGUGUGUGAAGAAGGCCUUCGGGUUGUAAAGCACUUUUGUCCGGAAAGAAAUCCUUGGCUCUAAUACAGUCGGGGGAUGACGGUACCGGAAGAAUAAGCACCGGCUAACUACGUGCCAGCAGCCGCGGUAAUACGUAGGGUGCAAGCGUUAAUCGGAAUUACUGGGCGUAAAGCGUGCGCAGGCGGUUUGCUAAGACCGAUGUGAAAUCCCCGGGCUCAACCUGGGAACUGCAUUGGUGACUGGCAGGCUAGAGUAUGGCAGAGGGGGGUAGAAUUCCACGUGUAGCAGUGAAAUGUGUAGAGAUGUGGAGGAAUACCGAUGGCGAAGGCAGCCCCCUGGGCCAAUACUGACGCUCAUGCACGAAAGCGUGGGGAGCAAACAGGAUUAGAUACCCUGGUAGUCCACGCCCUAAACGAUGUCAACUAGUUGUUGGGGAUUCAUUUCCUUAGUAACGUAGCUAACGCGUGAAGUUGACCGCCUGGGGAGUACGGUCGCAAGAUUAAAACUCAAAUGAAUUGACGGGGUCAUAGCUGUUUCCU
rnacentral:rRNA from 1 species